UACAGAGGUCCCAAGCGUUGUUCGGAUUCACUGGGCGUAAAGGGUGCGUAGGCGGUCGGGUAAGUCUGAUGUGAAAUCUCACAGCUUAACUGUGAAACUGCAUUGGAUACUAUCCGGCUCGAGGAAUGGAGGGGAGACUGGAAUACUUGAUGUAGCAGUGAAAUGCGUAGAUAUCAAGUGGAACACCAGUGGCGAAGGCGAGUCUCUGGACAUUUCCUGACGCUGAGGCACGAAAGCCAGGGGGAGCAAAACGGGG
rnacentral:rRNA from 1 species